rnacentral:snoRNA from 1 species
CCCCUCCCGGGAUGGCACCUGGAGAGUUUCCAGUCCUCUACCAGUCUCGGCUAUGGGAGGGAGAGUCGAGCAGAGGCCUGUCCAGUCCAUUCCUAACUUGGCCAGUGGCUAGCGAGUGGAAGGCCAUCUGCUACAAGU